GCUUAUCAAAUGGGUCGUACACAUCAAAUAUGUACUAGGAUAAAUAUCUCAGCGGUGCUAUCCCCUUAUCCCAUAAAAGAUAGCUUGGUUAUUAAUCCUCAAAGAGAUGAUUCACAGACUAGAUAUUACUCAACGGUUAAUGAGUCCAAAGGCCCAUUUUUUCUUCAAUCGGUAAAUCACUUCUUCUCUUAUAUGACCUAGCCUAAGGAACCAUUUAUAUACUUCAGAUUUAUUUGAUCUUUGGAUCUCUCAAACCCAAUGGCAUUCAUUGUUUGCUUAAAUAAGUAC
rnacentral:lncRNA from 1 species